rnacentral:rRNA from 1 species
ACGGCAGCGCGGACUUCGGUCUGGCGGCGAGUGGCGAACGGGUGAGUAAUACAUCGGAACGUGUCCUGUAGUGGGGGAUAGCCCGGCGAAAGCCGGAUUAAUACCGCAUACGCUCUACGGAGGAAAGGGGGGGAUCUUAGGACCUCUCGCUACAGGGGCGGCCGAUGGCAGAUUAGCUAGUUGGUGGGGUAAAGGCCUACCAAGGCGACGAUCUGUAGCUGGUCUGAGAGGACGACCAGCCACACUGGGACUGAGACACGGCCCAGACUCCUACGGGAGGCAGCAGUGGGGAAUUUUGGACAAUGGGCGCAAGCCUGAUCCAGCAAUGCCGCGUGUGUGAAGAAGGCCUUCGGGUUGUAAAGCACUUUUGUCCGGAAAGAAAUCCUUUGGCCUAAUACGUCGGGGGGAUGACGGUACCGGAAGAAUAAGCACCGGCUAACUACGUGCCAGCAGCCGCGGUAAUACGUAGGGUGCAAGCGUUAAUCGGAAUUACUGGGCGUAAAGCGUGCGCAGGCGGUUCGCUAAGACAGAUGUGAAAUCCCCGGGCUUA